rnacentral:tRNA from 1 species
ACCUGGCUGGUUCAGCUGGUAGAGUCUGUGACUCUUGAUCUCAAGGUCAUGAGUUCAAGCCCCAUGUUGGGCA